AGCAGCCGCGGUAAUUCCAGCUCCAAUAGCGUAUAUUAAAGUUGUUGCAGUUAAAAAGCUCGUAGUUGAAUUUCGAGACCGGCUUACUGGUCGUGCUAUUGUACGUACUGGUAUAAUCGGUUUCUCCUUUCUGACGAACUAUAAUGCCAUUAAUUUGGUGUUAUAGGGAAUCAGGACUGUUACUUUGAAAAAAUUAGAGUGUUUAAAGCAGGCUCACGCUUGAAUACAUUAGCAUGGAAUAACGGAAUAGGACGUUUGAUUCUAUUUUGUUGGUUUCUAGGAUCGACGUAAUGAUUAAUAGGGAUAGUUGGGGGCAUUAGUAUUCAAUUGUCAGAGGUGAAAUUCUUGGAUUUAUUGAAGACUAACUACUGCGAAAGCAUUUGCCAAGGAUGUUUUCAUUAAUCAAGGACGAAAGUUAGGGGAUCGAAGGACGAAUCAGGAUACCGUCGUAGUCUUAACCAUAAACUAUGCCGACUAGGGAUCGGAUGAUGUUAAUUUUUUAAUGACUCAUUCGGCGCCU
rnacentral:rRNA from 1 species